rnacentral:snRNA from 1 species
GGAUGUGAGGGCGAUCUGGCUGCGACAUCUGUCACCCCAUUGAUCGCCAGGGUUGAUUCGGCGAUCUGGCUGGCUAGGCGGGUGUCCCCUUCCUCCCUCACCGCUCCAUGUGCGUCCCUCCCGAAGCUGCGCGCUCGGGUCGAAGAGGACGACCAUCCCCGAUAGAGGAGGACCGUUCUUCGGUCAAGGGUAUACGAGUAGCUGCGCUCCCCUGCUAGAACCUCCAAACAAGAAUAACAAAGAACUAAUGGUUCUUCCCCAUAAUUCACAUGCUUUCUAGGAACAUGUAUGCUUUUAAAUUCAGUAUUUAUACUACUGUAAGUAUUUUCUGCUUGUUAAU